AUGAACGCUAGCGACAGGCCUAACACAUGCAAGUCGAGGGGCAGCACAAGGAGCAAUCUGAGGUGGCGACCGGCGCACGGGUGAGUAACACGUAUGCAACCUGCCUGUAAGCGGGGAAUAACUCGUUGAAAGACGGACUAAUACCGCAUAAUACUAAAUUACUGCAUGGUAAUUUAUUUAAACAUUUAUGGCUUACAGAUGGGCAUGCGCAUGAUUAGCUAGUUGGAGAGGUAACGGCUCCCCAAGGCAACGAUCAUUAGGGGUUCUGAGAGGAAGGUCCCCCACACUGGUACUGAAACACGGACCAGACUCCUACGGGAGGCAGCAGUGAGGAAUAUUGGUCAAUGGACGAGAGUCUGAACCAGCCAAGUCGCGUGCAGGAAGAAUGUUCCCUAUGGAUUGUAAACUGUCUUUUGCAGGGGAAUAAAGUGCAUCACGUGUGAUGUUUUGUAUGUACUCUGCGAAUAAGGAUCGGCUAACUCCGUGCCAGCCGCGGC
rnacentral:rRNA from 1 species